AGGAAUUGGCGGGGGAGCACCGCAACGGGAGGAGCGUGCGGUUCAAUUGGAUUCAACGCCGGAAAACUCACCGGGGGCGACGGAGGGAUGAAAGCCAGGCUGAAGACCUUGCCCGAUUCUCCGAGAGGUGGUGCAUGGCCGUCGUCAGUUCGUACCGUAAGGCGUUCUGUUAAGUCAGAUAACGAACGAGACCCUCGCCUUCAGUCGCAAUUUCGCGGGCGACCGCGAGAGCACACUGAAGGGAUCGCUGCCGCUAAGGCUGAGGAAGGAGAGGUCUACGGUAGGUCCGUAUGCCCCGAAUCUCCCGGGCAACACGCGCGCUACAAAGGAUGGGACAAUGGGAUCCGACCUCGAAAGGGGGAGGCAAUCCUGAAACCCAUUCGUAGUCUGGAUCGAGGGCUGUAACUCGCCCUCGUGAAAAUGGAUUCCGUAGUAAUCGCGGGUCAACAUCCCGCGGUGAAUGUGCCCCUGCUCUUUGCACACACCGCCCGUC
rnacentral:rRNA from 1 species